rnacentral:rRNA from 1 species
UACGUAGGGUGCGAGCGUUAAUCGGAAUUACUGGGCGUAAAGCGUGCGCAGGCGGUUCGUUAAGUCUGGUGUGAAAGCCCCGGGCUUAACCUGGGAAUUGCAUUGGAAACUAGCGGGCUGGAGUGUGGCAGAGGGGGGUGGAAUUCCACGUGUAGCAGUGAAAUGCGUAGAGAUGUGGAGGAACACCGAUGGCGAAGGCAGCCCCCUGGGCUAACACUGACGCUCAUGCACGAAAGCGUGGGGAGCAAACAGG